rnacentral:RNase_P_RNA from 1 species
GAAGCACGCCAGGCCGCCGCUGGUGCAAUCACCGAAAGGUGGCACUGGAGGAAGGUCCGGACUGCACAGGGCAGCGUAGCAGGCAACACCUGUCCACCGCGAGGUGAGGAUCAGAGCAACAGAGACGAGUCGGCGGGUCCGCAAGGGUCCGCCGGGUGAAACGGGCAAUCUCUACGCGCAGCAAUACCAAAUAGGCCGGCGAUGAUGUGGCUCCGCGGAGCCGGCGGGUAGGUAGCACCGAGCCGGGUGGGCGACCCCCGGCCCAGAUGAAUGGCGGUCACGGCCUGGGAAACCAGGCCGCACAGAAUCCGGCCUAUCGGCGCGCUUCACAA